UAGUGGCGAACGGGUGAGUAACACGUGGGCAAUCUGCCCUUCACUCUGGGACAAGCCCUGGAAACGGGGUCUAAUACCGGAUACGACUGCGGAAGGCAUCUUCUGCGGUGGAAAGCUCCGGCGGUGAAGGAUGAGCCCGCGGCCUAUCAGCUUGUUGGUGGGGUAAUGGCCUACCAAGGCGACGACGGGUAGCCGGCCUGAGAGGGCGACCGGCCACACUGGGACUGAGACACGGCCCAGACUCCUACGGGAGGCAGCAGUGGGGAAUAUUGCACAAUGGGCGAAAGCCUGAUGCAGCGACGCCGCGUGAGGGAUGACGGCCUUCGGGUUGUAAACCUCUUUCAGCAGGGAAGAAGCGAAAGUGACGGUACCUGCAGAAGAAGCGCCGGCUAACUACGUGCCAGCAGCCGCGGUAAUACGUAGGGCGCAAGCGUUGUCCGGAAUUAUUGGGCGUAAAGAGCUCGUAGGCGGCUUGUCACGUCGGAUGUGAAAGCCCGAGGCUUAACCUCGGGUCUGCAUUCGAUACGGGCUAGCUAGAGUGUGGUAGGCCAGAUCGGAAUUCCU
rnacentral:rRNA from 1 species